ACGGGAGGCAGCAGUGGGGAAUAUUGGGCAAUGGGGGGAACCCUGACCCAGCAACGCCGCGUGAAGGAAGAAGGCUUUCGAGUUGUAAACUUCUUUGACAGGGGAAGAGGAGAAGACGGUACCCUGAAAACAAGCCACGGCUAACUACGUGCCAGCAGCCGCGGUAAUACGUAGGUGGCGAGCGUUGUCCGGAUUUACUGGGUGUAAAGGGCGUGUAGCCGGGUUGGCAAGUCAGGUGUGAAAGACAUAGGCUUAACCUAUGGAGUGCAUUUGAAACUGUUGAUCUUGAGUAUCGGAGAGGCAAUCGGAAUUCCUUGUGUAGCGGUGAAAUGCGUAGAUAUAAGGAGGAACACCAGUGGCGAAGGCGGAUUGCUGGACGACAACUGACGGUGAGGCGCGAAAGUGUGGGGAGCGAACAGGAUUAGAUACCCUGGUA
rnacentral:rRNA from 1 species